CCUACGGGUGGCAGCAGUGGGGAAUAUUGGGCAAUGGAGGAAACUCUGACCCAGCCAUGCCGCGUGAAUGAAGAAGGUCUUCGGAUUGUAAAGUUCUUUAGUCAGGGAAGAAUAAACUGACGGUACCUGAAGAAUAAGCUCCGGCUAACUACGUGCAAGCACCCGCGGUAUUCCGGCGGGAGCAAGCGUUGUUCGGAUUGACUGGGCGUAAAGGGUGCGUGGGCGGUUAUGCAAGUUUGAAGGGAAAUACCCGGGGCUUAACUCGGGUGCUGCUUCUAAAACUGUAAGACUUGAGUGCAGGAGAGGUUAGUGGAAUGCGUGGUGUAGCGGUGGAAUGCGUAGAUAUUAGGAGGAACACC
rnacentral:rRNA from 1 species